rnacentral:rRNA from 1 species
CCUACGGGCGACAGCAGUCGAAAAUCAUUCACAAUGGGGGAAACCCUGAUGGUGCGACGCCGCGUGGGGGAAUGAAGGUCUUCGGAUUGUAAACCCCUGUCAUGUGGGAGCAAAUUAAAAAGAUAGUACCACAAGAGGAAGAGACGGCUAACUCUGUGCCAGCAGCCGCGGUAAUACAGAGGUCUCAAGCGUUGUUCGGAAUCACUGGGCGUAAAGCGUGCGUAGGCUGUUUCGUAAGUCGUGUGUGAAAGGCGCGGGCUCAACCCGCGGACGGCACAUGAUACUGCGAGACUAGAGUAAUGGAGGGGGAACCGGAAUUCUCGGUGUAGCAGUGAAAUGCGGAGAUAGCGAGAGGAACACUCGUGGCGAAGGCGGGUUCCUGGACAUUAACUGACGCUGAGGCACGAAGGCCAGGGGAGCGAAAGGGAUUAGAUACCCCAGUAGUC